UGGGGAAUCUUGCGCAAUGCGCGAAAGCGUGACGCAGCAACACCGCGUGAGGGAAGACGGCCUUAGGGUUGUAAACCUCUUUCAGUUGGGACGAAGGUUCACCGGUGAACAGCCGAGUGGAUUGACGGUACCUUCAGAAGAAGCUCCGGCUAACUACGUGCCAGCAGCCGCGGUAAUACGUAGGGAGCGAGCGUUGUCCGGAAUCAUUGGGCGUAAAGAGCGCGUAGGUGGGUAAAUCAGUCUGCUGUGAAAGUCGAAGGCUCAACCUUCGAAAGCCGGUGGAUACUGUUUAUCUUGAGUACGGAAGAGGCGAGUGGAAUUCCUGGUGUAGCGGUGGAAUGCGCAGAUAUCAGGAGGAACACCAAUAGCGAAGGCAGCUCGCUGGGACGUUACUGACACUAAGGCGCGAAAGCGUGGGGAGCAAACAGG
rnacentral:rRNA from 1 species